rnacentral:rRNA from 1 species
AGUGAACGCUGGCGGUAGGCCUAACACAUGCAAGUCGAACGGCAGCACAGGAGAGCUUGCUCUCUGGGUGGCGAGUGGCGGACGGGUGAGGAAUACAUCGGAAUCUACUCUGUCGUGGGGGAUAACGUAGGGAAACUUACGCUAAUACCGCAUACGACCUACGGGUGAAAGCAGGGGACCUUCGGGCCUUGCGCGAUUGAAUGAGCCGAUGUCGGAUUAGCUAGUUGGCGGGGUAAAGGCCCACCAAGGCGACGAUCCGUAGCUGGUCUGAGAGGAUGAUAGGCCACACUGGAACUGGGACACGGUCCAGACUCCUACGGGAGGCAGCAGUGGGGUAUAUUGGACAAUGGGCGCAAGCCUGAUCCAGCCAUACCGCGUGGGUGAAGAAGGCCUUCGGGUCGUAAAGCCCUUUUGUUGGGAAAGAAAUCCAGCUGGCUAAUACCCGGUUGGGAUGACGGUACCCAAAGAAUAAGCACCGGCUAACUUCGUGCCAGCAGCCGCGGUAA